CAGAUUUCGGGCUGCUCUUCCUCUUGUUCUGGGAAGUGCUAUGUUUUCUUACAGUCUCUUAAUCUUAAAAGGAAAACAAACUUUAAGGACCUUGGUAAAGUCAACAAAUAAUCCUUCAUUUUAGAAGCCUGCAGUUUCUCCCAAAUAAUAUUUAUGUACUUAAAGUUAUAUUUUUCUUCAGUUACAGCUACUGUGUGAAAAUAAUUAUCUGCUUAUCAAGUCUACAACUUAGAAUUUCCUAUUUUAAAGCUCUCUCAUUUAGUUAUCACACAGUCAUCUUCUAUUUGCCAGACACUAUGGUAGCACAUUAAAAGGAGACUGAUGUGAAAUCAAGUCUGUGCAAAAAGUAUUGAGUGCUUUGGUAGAAGUUUAUACAGAAGACAUUGGAGACACAAAAAUCAAUUCUGUCCAGGUGAGUUGAUGUCAGGAAAGGCUUAAUAAUGGACAUGAGGCCAGGCGUGGUGGCUCACACCUGUAAUUCCUGCUCUUUGGGAGGCUGAGGCAGGUGGAUCACUUGAGACCAGGAGUUUGAGAACAACCCAGCCAAUAUGGUGAAACCACAUCUCCACUAAAAAAUAAAAAUUAGCUGGGCGUGGUGGUGCAUGCCUGUAAUCCCAGCUACUCCCGAGGCUGAGGCAGGAGAAUUGUUUGAAGCCAGGAGGCAGAGGUUUCAGUGAGCCAAGAUGGUGCCACUGCACUCCAGCCCAGGCAACAGAGCAAGACUCUGUCAUUCAUUCAUUCAUUCAUAAAUAAAUAAAUGAGAUAACACUUCAUCUGGUUCUUAGAAGAGGCAUACGUAUAUAUGUGGCUAAAGUCACUCUAUCACAUUGUAGAAGGUAGAUUGGACUGGAGGCUAUAUAAGCAGAGACAGAUGGGCUGUUUAGAUUACUACUUAUUCGUGUUUUUUUUUUGAGACAGAGUUUCACUCUUGAUGCCCAGGCUGGAAUGCAGUGGUGCAGUCUCGGCUUACCAUAACUUGUAUCUCCUGGGUUCGAGCUGUUCUCCUGCCUAAGCCUCUUGAGUAGCUGGGAUCAUAGGCUUGUGCUGCCCUGCCUGGCUAAUUUUGUAUUUUUAGAAGAGGUGGGGUUUCUCCAUGUUGGUCAGGGUGAUCUCAAACUCCUGACCUCAGGUGAUUCUCCCAAAGUUCUGGGGUUACAGUUGUGAGCCACCAUGCCCAUCCUAGGUUACUACUUAUUCUAAUGAAAACCUAGGUAAAUCAGAUAUUUGAAGUACAAAAUAAAACCAGAAGAGUAGUAGAAGAAUAAAGGGAAGGCUUUUCUAAACAUGAAACAACCCCAAAAGAUGUUUUAAAAAUAUGUUUCUGCAUCUGUAUCUCAUUACAGUAAAAGCUUUAUUCCCAAAAAAAAUGCUUUGUAAAACUGUAUUUGCAAUGCAGAUGAAAAGGACUAUAUUUGUUUUUUUUGUGUUUUUUUUUUUGAGACGGAGUUUCGCUCUCACUACCCAGGCUGGAGUGCAAUGGCGCGAUCUCAGCUCACCGCAACCUCCGCCUCCUGGGUUCAGGCAAUUCUCCUGCCUCAGCCUCCUGAGUAGCUGGGAUUACAGGCACGUGCCACCAUGCCCAGCUAAUUUUUUGUAUUUUUAGUAGAGACUGGUUUCACCAUGUUGACCAGGACGGUCUCGAUCUCUUGACCUUGUGUUCCACCCGCCUUGGCCUCCCAAAGUGCUGGGAUUACAGGCGUGAGCCACCAUGCCCGGCCGAAAAUGACUAUAUUUGUUAAUCGAAAGUGGUAUUAAUAAACAUAACAGAUAUGAAUAGACUGUUCACAGGCAAACAAAUAGAUGUCGAAUAAACAAUAAAAAGUUUAUUCUCGGCCAGGUGCAAUGGCUUACACCUGUAAUCUCAGCACUUUGGGAGGCCUAGACGAGUGGAUCACCUGAGGUCAGGAGUUCGAGACCAGCCUGGCCAACAUGGUAAAACCUGUUUCUACUAAAAAUACAAACAAUGAGCUGGGCAUGCCUGUAAUCUCAGCUACUCGGGAGGCUGAGGUGGGAGAAUCGCUUGAACCCAGGACGCAGAAGUUGCAGUGAGCCAAAAUUACACCAUCUCACUCCAGCUUAAGCUAUAAGAGUGAAACUCUGUCUAAAAAAAAUGUAUUCUGCCUUAUAAUCAAAAACAAAAAUUUAACAAAAAGCUAGUAUACUGUUGUCAUCCGCUUUGAAAAAUGAUGCACACCUGUAGUCCCAACUGUAGUUCCAACUGACCCUUGAGCCUGGAGUUCAAGGCAGCAGUGACCUAUGACUGCAAUACUGCACUGCAGCCUGGGUAACAAAGUGAGACCCCUGUCUCUUAAUAAGAAAAAAAAAAGGAUAAAUAUACAGUAUCGAUAAGGAUGUGUGUAUUUAAGCAUUCUCUAACCUGUAGAUCAACAAACCACAGCACAUGGGCCAAAUCCAGUCUACUCUUUGUUUUUAUACAUAAAGUUUUAUUGACACAGCCACACCAUUUAUUCAUGUAUUGCCAGUGGCUGCUUUUCACACUAGGAUGGCAAAGUUGACUAAUUGCAACAGAGACUAUAGGUCCCUCUAAACCUUUACUUUCUGGCCCUCUGCAGAAGUUGUUUGCUGAACCCUGUUCAAGCCUAUGGAUGGGAAUAUAAACAAGCUAUAAAACAGUCAACCUAAAAUGCAUAUGUUUUGACCCAGCAUUUCUACGUCUAUGAACUUUGUGGAUAAUUAUGCUUAAAAGAAUGGACAGGGAUGUGACUGUAAAAGGAUAUUAGUUGUGGCAUUAUUUAUAAAGCAAAAGAUGAGGGGAAAACCUCAAAAAUCCAUUCAUAGACUGAAUCGGACAGAAGAGAAACCCAGAAAAAAGUUGAUUUAUGCAUUAAAUUCUCAAACAGCCAGCCAGACGUGGUGGCCCAUGCCUGUAAUCCCAGCACUUGAGAGGCUACGGUAGGCGGAUCACUUGAGGUCGGGAGUUUGAGACCAGCCUGGCCAACAUGGUGAAACCCCUCUCUACUAAAAAUACAAAAAUUAGCCAGGAGUAGUGGAGCACCCCUGUAAUCCCAGCUACACAGGAGUCUGAAACAGGAGAAUUGCUUGGACCAGGGAGGUGGAAGUUGCAGUGAGCUGAGAUCAUGCCACUGUACCCCAGCCUAGGUGACAGAGUAAAACUCCAUCUCAAAAAAAAAAACUCAAAGAGCUGAGGAAUAGGAAGGAUAUAAUCCUGCUGAAAAGGGGUACAAAUAGUAUCCAUAAAACUGGAGACUUGCCCCGCCCGCCCGCCAUCCCCCGCUUGCCUUCCAGUGCUGCUUGCGCUCGGUAGCGCUGACUCUGCCGGCGCUGAGGGCGGCGGUGCACCAGCCCACCUGCGAUGGAACUAUGAAAUGGACCAAUUUUGACAAGAUGAAUCUGCACCAUUUUCCUUUGGAGUUACUAAAAGAUGAGGGACUGCAGUACUUGGAGAGACUCUAUAUGAAAAGGAACUCCCUGACAACCUUGCCAGAAAACCUUGCUCAGAAGCUUCCAAACCUUGUGGAACUAUACCUGCACUCAAAUAACAUAGUUGUGGUACCGGAAGCCAUUGGGUCCCUUGUAAAACUCCAAUGUCUGGAUCUUAGUGACAGUGCCUUAGAAAUCGUUUGCCCAGAAAUUGGUCGUCUGCGAGCUUUACGUCAUCUUCGAUUAGCUAAUAACCAGCUGCAAUUCCUACCUCCAGAGGUUGGCGAUUUGAAGGAGCUGCAGACACUAGACAUUUCUACCAAUCGUUUGCUAACUUUACCCGAGAGGCUUCACAUGUGCCUUUCUCUGCAGUACCUCACUGUGGACCGAAAUCGUCUAUGGUAUGUGCCGUGCCAUCUCUGCCAGCUGUCCAGCCUCAAUGAGCUCUCCAUGGCUGGAAACUGUCUUGCAUUUUUGCCACUUGAUUUAGGUUGAUCUCGAGAACUACAAUAUGUGUACGUGGAUAACAACAUAAACCUGAAAGGCUUGCCAUCCUAUCUGUAAAUAAAGUCAUCGGGUGCAGUGGCUAUGGUGCUCCCAUUCAAGUUUCCGAGGUGAAGCUGCUUUCGUUUUCAUCAGGGCCUCGAACCGUUUUCCUCCCAGCCGAGGUGAAGGCCAUAGGGACAGAGCAUGAUCACAUCCUCCCUCUGCAGGAAGUGGCCAUGAGAAGUCUGUAUCAUACCUACCACAGCUUUCUGAAAGAUUUGAACUUUCUGUCUCCAAUCUCAUUACCCAGAAGUCUCCUGGAGCUGCUGCACUGCCCUCUGGGGCACUGUCAUCGGUGUAGUGAGCCUAUGUUUACCAUCGUCUACCCCAAGCUCUUUCCCUUGAGAGAGACGCCAAUGGCAGGGCUGCACCAGGGGAGGACAACUGUUAGUUUUGUGGCUUACUGCUGCUCCACCCAGUGUCUGCAGACUUUUGACCUGCUGAGUUGAUAAACACCCAGGAGCCUCAGGAGCACUGCCAGCUUGAUGCUGGGGAAUCUGGCCAGUCCAGAACAGACUCUUCCAUCCUGUCCUGUCCAAGGCAGGGCACUGUGGAACUCUCUGGAAAUGUCAAGAUUGGGCUUCAGAGCUAAAAUGCCUCACCCUUCCCCCAAGUUGGAAUAUAUCCCCCCCC